UGAGGAAURUUGGGCAAUGGAGGCAACUCUGACCCAGCCAUGCCGCGUGCAGGAAGACGGCCGUACGGGUUGUAAACUGCUUUUAUACAGGAWGAACACCACCCACGUGUGGGUGACUGACGGUAMWGUAAGAAUAAGGACCGGCUAACUCCGUGCCAGCAGCCGCGGUAAUASGGAGGGUCCGAGCGUUAUCCGGAAUCAUUGGGUUUAAAGGGUCCGUAGGCGGGMUAAUAAGUCAGAGGUGAAAGUUUGCAGCUCAACUGUAAAAUUGCCUUUGAUACUGUUAGUCUUGAGUUAUAGUGAAGUGGUUAGAAUAAGUGGUGUAGCGGUGAAAUGCAUAGAUAUCACUUASAAUACCGAUUGCGAAGGYMGAUCACUAACUGUAUACUGACGCKGAGGGAMGAAAGCAUGRGUAGCGAACRKGAUUMGAUACCCCGGUMGUCCAUGCAGUAAACGAUGGAUACUAGCUGUGGGUUCGGUCAGUGGCUAAGCKAACGC
rnacentral:rRNA from 1 species